CAGCAGCCGCGGUAAUACAUAGGGGGCAAGCGUUAUCCGGAAUUAUUGGGCGUAAAGCGUGCGUAGGCGGUUUAUUAAGUUUGGUGUAAAAUACUAUAGCUUAACUAUAGAGGGUCAUUGAAAACUGGUAGACUUGAGUACGGUAGAGGUAAGUGGAAUUUCUAGUGGAGCGGUGGAAUGCGUAGAUAUUAGAAGGAACACCAAUGGCGAAGGCAGCUUACUGGGCCGGGACUGACGCUGAGGCACGAAAGCGUGGGGAGCAAACAGGAUUAGAUACCCUGGUAGUCCACGCCGUAAACGAUGAGCACUAAGUGUCGGGGGAAACCUCGGUGCUGCAGUUAACACAUUAAGUGCUCCGCCUGGGGAGUACGGUCGCAAGACUGAAACUCAAAGGAAUUGACGGGGACUCGCACAAGCGGUGGAGCAUGCGGUUUAAUUCGAUGCAACGCGAAGAACCUUACCAGGUCUUGACAUCUUGUUGACUGAUCUAGAGAUAGGUCUUUUCUUCGGAACAACAAAGACAGGUGGUGCAUGGCC
rnacentral:rRNA from 1 species